GGAUGUGAGGGUGAUCUGGCUGCAACACCUGUCACCCUAUUGAUCACUAGGGUUGAUUCUGCUGAUUUGGCUGGCUAGGCGGGUGUCCCCUUCCUCCCUCACUGCUCCAUGUACGUCCCUCCCGAAGCUGCGUGCUCAGCUGAAGAGGACAACGGCCUUCCCCGAACAGAGACGGACUGAUCUUUGGUUGAGGGUGUAUGAGUAGCUGUGGUCCCCUGCGAGAAGCUCCAAACAAGCUCUUAAAUUCAGACUUUAUGCUGUAUCUAUCAGUUGUGUAACUUGGGUAAGUUAUUUCAAAUCAACUAUGUUGUAAAGAGU
ensembl:misc_RNA 7SK 7SK RNA